GAUGAACGCUGGCGGCGUGCCUAAUACAUGCAAGUCGAACGAAACUUCGUUAUCACCGAUUCCUUGCACUCACCGAGAAAAAGGUGAGUGGCGAACGGAUGAGAAACACCUUGGCAACCGGGCCAAAACGGGGGAAUACCACUUAGAAACAGGUGCUAUUACCGCAUAACCAUAGUUACUUCAUGGUAACUAGGUAAAAGGUGGUUAUCCUACCGCUGUUUAAUGAGUUCGCGGCGCAUUAGCUAGUUGGUAGGGUAAAGGCUUACCAAGGCAAUGAUGCGAAGAGGAACUGAGAGGUGGAUCCGCCACAUCGGGACUGAAACACGGCCCAAACUCCUCCGCGAGGAAGCAGUAGGGUAUCUUACACAAUGCGCGAGAGCCUGAUGGAGCCAAGCCGCGUGGGUGAGGAAGGUCUUCGGAUCGUAAAACCCUGUUGUUAGUGAAGAAGGCGCGUCCGGGUAACUGUUCAGGUUUUGACGGUACCCAACCAGAAAGCAACGGCUAACUACGUG
rnacentral:rRNA from 1 species